GGCAGAAGUGACAGUGUGGUGCAUGGCUUGUCGUCAGCUCGGUGUCGUAGAAGAUGUUGGGUUAAUGUCCCGCAACAGAGGCGCAACCCUUAUCCUUAGUAGCCAGCGGUUCGGGCCGGGCACUCUGGGGAGACUGCCGGGAGUAUAACUCCGGAGGAAGGUGGGGAUGACGUCAAGAUCAUCAUGCCCCUUAUGACUUGGGCUACACACGUGCUACAAUGGCGGUAACAAAGGGAAGCAGCCUCGCGAGAGUGAGCAAAUCCCCAAAAAUGCCGUCUCAGUUCGGAUUGUAGUCUGCAACUCGACUACAUAGAAGCUGGAAUCGCUAGUAAUCGCAGUAUCAGAAUGCUGCGGUGAAUACGUUCCCGGGCCUUGU
rnacentral:rRNA from 1 species